AGCGAACGCUGGCGGCAAGCUUAACACAUGCAAGUCGAACGAUGUAGCAAUACAUAGUGGCGGACGGGUGCAUAACACGUGGGAAUCUGCCUUUAGGUACGGAAUAACUCAGGGAAACUUGAGCUAAUACCGUAUAAAAUCUCCGGAUCAAAGAUUUAUCGCCUAAAGAUGAGCCCGCGUCAGAUUAGCUAGUUGGUGGGGUAACGGCCUACCAAGGCGACGAUCUGUAGCUGGUCUUAGAGGAUGAUCAGCCACACUGGGACUGAGACACGGCCCAGACUCCUACGGGAGGCAGCAGUGGGGAAUAUUGGACAAUGGGGGAAACCCUGAUCCAGCUAUGCCGCGUGAGUGAUGAAGGCCUUAGGGUUGUAAAGCUCUUUUAGAUGGGAAGAUAAUGACGGUACCAUCAGAAGAAGCCCCGGCUAACUUCGUGCCAGCCGCCGCGGUAA
rnacentral:rRNA from 1 species